rnacentral:misc_RNA from 1 species
GAUGAGAACGCAGCGAAAUGCGAUAAGUAAUGUGAAUUGCAGAAUUCAGUGAAUCAUCGAAUCUUUGAACGCACAUUGCGCCCGCCAGUAUUCUGGCGGGCAUGCCUGUUCGAGCGUCAUUUCAACCAUCAAGCCCCCGGCUUGUGUUGGGGACCUGCGGCUGCCCGCAGGCCCUGAAAACCAGUGGCGGGCUCGCUGUCACUCCGAGCGUAGUAGCAUAUAUCUCGCUCAGGGCGUGCUGCGGGUUCCGGCCGUUAAAAGCCUUUUUUUACCCAAGGUUGACCUCGGAUCAGGUAGGAAGACCCGCUGAACUUAAGCAUAUCAAUAAGCGGAGGA